CCCCGUGCUAAGAGCAACAAUUAUCGUUUGGUGCGUUGACAUUUCCCGGAUAUUACAACAGCACUGCAAUCAUCCCUUUAACCCAGUUGUCUUGUUGUACCAUAAAAGGAGCGCAGAGAACGGUUUGCAACUGAUUGGGAACAGGUUAAAUAGCUCAUUCUCAUAACGUGUGCGCUGAUUUAAAUAUCACAUUUUUCGUAGGGCAACAUCGCAUUAUUGCAUGUGAUUCUGGAAGCGAUAAGUGGCGAAGCGGAAGCACAAAGAACAAAAGCGUCCGGUUGACACCGAGUUGGCACCAAGAGCGUGCGAUGCCCCUGUCCCUUUGUGAGUUACUCGAGAAGAGCGGUAUGCAGAAGCGCCCGGCAGAAGAUGAGGGUCUAUUUAACCUUCGAACAAAGGAUAUCAACGCAUUAGUUGUGUAAUCAUUAGGAAAAUCGGAAGAUAGAACAUUAUCAGAUAUAAUUUGUCGAAGCAGUAUUUGCCCCAGAUAUAUAGAAUCCGUCCUGCAAAAGGCUUCACUUACAAGACACCCGGGCAGCAGAGCGACUUCUAAUUGCAGCCGUCACGUUCUUCACAUCUGACCUUUUGCAGCGCUAAUAUCCUGCUCUUAGCUUUCUUCCAGAUAUUUUCCCUCCAGCACGUCCCAACUAGGUCAGUGCCGUUCCAUUCCAAAACUUCCUUCCCAUAGACUCCUCAGCAUUCCGUCUCAUACCAUUCCACCGUUAGCAUAGCAACGCGGUAAUGAGAUGAUGCUGGUACGUACCCAUAUUUGCUUCCCAGAGCCAAUACGGCCUUCCGGGAUGAGACACCACUCGAACCAGAUGUUCCCAGGACAGCGCGCCGUCAACCAGGCCGGUGUUGACACUCUGGUGAUGUUUGCAAAUAACAACCAAAAGGUAGAACGUGCUUUCCCGGGAAUGUUACCGUGAAGAAAGUGGGCAGAAAAGAGGGGAGGUUUGCUAAUUAGUUACUUAAAGACUUUGUGACGCUAUCCGGCCAAGCGCGUCGGUGUACGUGCUGGGAACGGUGUUUUUGAUGGGGACGUUAUGGAGGGAGCUUUUGCUGAAGUUGGUUCUGGUUAAUAUCGGUUUGAUCGUAUCUUGUAGGCAAGUUCUCACGGUUAUGUAAUUUCGUGCCGUUUUGUGAUAAAAAUAACGAAACUUCUUUA